GCGAACGGACGAGAAGCUUGCUUUUCUGACGUUAGCGGCGGACGGGUGAGUAACACGUGGAUAACCUACCUAUAAGACUGGGAUAACUUCGGGAAACCGGAGCUAAUACCGGAUAAUAUUUUGAACCGCAUUGUUCAAAAGUGAAAGACGGUCUUGCUGUCACUUAUAGAUGGAUCCGCGCUGCAUUAGCUAGUUGGUAAGGUAACGGCUUACCAAGGCAACGAUGCAUAGCCGACCUGAGAGGGUGAUCGGCCACACUGGAACUGAGACACGGUCCAGACUCCUACGGGAGGCAGCAGUAGGGAAUCUUCCGCAAUGGGCGAAAGCCUGACGGAGCAACGCCGCGUGAGUGAUGAAGGUCUUCGGGUCGUAAAACUCUGUUAUUAGGGAAGAACAUAUGUGUAAGUAACUGUGCACAUCUUGACGGUACCUAAUCAGAAAGCCACGGCUAACUACGUGCCAGCAGCCGCGGUAAUACGUAGGUGGCAAGCGUUAUCCGGAAUUAUUGGGCGUAAAGCGCGCGUAGGCGGUUUUUUAAGUCUGAAGUUAAAGGCAUUGGCUCACCCAAUGUACGCUUUGGAAACUGGAGAACUUGAGUGCAGAAGGGGAGAGUGGAAUUCCAUGUGUAGCGGUGAAAUGCGUAGAUAUAUGGAGGAACACCGGUGGCGAAAGCGGCUCUCUGGUCUGUAACUGACGCUGA
rnacentral:rRNA from 1 species